CUUGAAGUCGCGGUAUAUCACCGGGGGGUCGGCGUCAUGGAGAAAGGCAAGGCCCUUGGCUGCACCGACAGCGAUCUUCAUCCUCGUCAUCCACGGGAGAGAGCCAUUAAUACCUAAAGUAAAGAGGAUGUUUCAGCGGUUGCACAGCCUGAUGCUUUGGUUGUUUAUAUAGUAUCAUCAUGUGAUUGCACGAAGAAAUUAAGAUGUCUUGGUGAAACUUCUUCCGAGAAAACGGAGCCAAAAGGGACACGAGGGCGUUUUCGUGUCCAGGUGAUGAAAGGAACGUUGGUUCAAUCCAUUCGUUGCUGAAGUCUCGUUUUCAAAAAUUAAAUGGAAAAAUUUGUAUGUUGAGAAAUACUCGGAUGUCAUGGAAACUACGGUGCCUCUCUGCUACUUCUGGAUUGUUCUGUUGGGGUGGACAAUUCACAGUGCCCCUAAUUCUAGAUCCUUCUUCUUCUACGUCUUGGUUUGGUUGGGGAAUGAGUUGAAUUUUACAAUGGCUGGCAGCGUCACGGCAAUGACAAAUGCGUGCCUCGCGUGACGAAAAGCUUAUGUCCGGUCAGGCGUCCUCGUUUACGGUUGAUUUUGUGGCAGCUCGAACAGGUCGUCGACCGGCGUUGCGGGUGCGCCGACGAGGUGGCGGUUGUAGAUGCGCGCGGCCUUUUCUCCAUGACGGACGCGCCCGCCGUCCAGACGAUCGCCGGACCUGGCAGCGACAGCGACCAUUCCAAGAGUCUAAACCGGCACAUAAGCGACCAUCCAGCAAGGUCGUCGGGAAUCCAGUAAACAAAUACGGAGUGGUGUACAGGGCAGUACAAAGUAGGAGUCCGAUAUGACGGCAUCGUCGCCGGCGAGCCACGGGGCGGAGCAGCGCUUGCCGACGCGACGGAGCUGGAGUCAACCGCGCCGGUCCCUCUCCGGCUUCCCCAGUACUGGGCCGGCGCGGCGCAGGAAGCUUACGCGCGUACGCGGUCGGAGGUUAGCGCGUCGCUGUCGCCACGCCGAUGCGUGCCGGGACGGCGGUGGGACGUGUCGGGCCGGCGAGGUUUCCGGGCACGGGGCACCCCCGAUCCAGACGGUUUCUCAGGUGAGCUUCAGCCGUGUCCCCGCACCAUUUUUAUUUUCGUUUCCACAGCCGUCCAAAUCUUGCAGUGUACGGGCUGAUCCGAUGGCGCCGCGUCGCUGUCGGACAAGAAGCCAGCGACGGAUCGGAAGGUUCUGCGGGGAGUAGGAUUCGAUGGAGCAGGCCCCGCCUGGCGCCGCCGUGGCCACUGGAAGAUGUCCCACACAAGGACAAGUAGUGGCUGCUGCCAGUGCCAGGUGGCCAUACCCUAUUUGGCCGUUCCGUGCUAGGCUUAGCCAUUUUUUUCCGUGAUGGCGACGAAAGUAAUGAUGAACUUGUGCUACUCCAGAUUUUACGCCGGACCGUACCUGG